UUAUAUUAAGUCCGCCACCCCUAAGUAUCGAAAGGGCUGAAGGGUGCACCUGAUGCAGUGCUUUGUUUCCAGCAGUGGCAGAACAGAUGCCUCUGUUAAAGUCUCCAGGCACUUGGUCUAUCGAAGAUAGGCUGCUGCUGAAUGUGGAGGAUCCAUCAUCUUGCCAUCCUAGUUAACAGACCGACAUAGCCCAGUCCUCUCCGGUGCAUGUUUGCUCAGAACAUCAAGCUCCCAUGGAACUGGCCAGACCUUUGAAGUUCUUUGUUGGGAUGACUUGUGUGUCUCCUCCAAAAUCUUGGAAAUGGAUCGUUUGCAUCUGGAGGGAAGUCGCAACUGACACCAAUGGAAACUUCACUUCUGAUGUAAACAGCAGCUUUCUUAAGGAGCUGAUGGGAACAGGAAUCUAUAGAACAUGGAAUCCAUGAUGAGCUCAAAAGACGAGAGUAGCAGUUGCCAAUCACCAUACUCCUGAUGAAGGAAGCAACACUAGCACCAAAUGAGCCCACGCAACCCACCUCUGGAUCUGAACUGCAGCUAUCUUCUGGCUAUCGAUCAACCACACUUGUUCCCUUAUCAUCCUAUGAAGCAGCAUCCAGCAAGGAAGCAGAGGAGGAAGACUACAUCUGCUGAAUUCACACUUCACUGGUAAAUGCAGCGAUGCCCCCCACCCCAGUUUUCUAGGGGUGGUUCUGGCUUUAUGCAAUUUUGCUCAUAAGCACAAUAGCCAGGAAUGUAACCCUCACAUAAGAUGUGAGCUAACUGUGUGUUCUUUCCAUGGUAAUUACCAACUGCUAUUCUUUCAA